GCCUGAAGUUUUCUACCACUGCCUCUCGGUGGAUGAACCCAAGCUGCACCCUCGCUGGAUGACUGCCAAGCCUAUUCCUGGCUACAGAAUGAAACUAUUGACCUUGACUCAAGAAAUCCAUAAAGACAGAAGGAAUCAAUUUAAAAAAUAAAGUGCUUGUGAAGGAGGAAGGACUCCUUCUGUCCAAGUUUUUAAUUCUGCCUCUAAACUACGGGAUGGAAAGGCAAAUACACAUUCUGAAAUGGCUGAAUGAAUGCCUCAUGCCAUAGGAGCACACAGCUGGAGCAGCCCUCAAGUGACUCCUCCCUUGAACCCUUCACUCUUGUUAAGGACUAAUACUGUAGGAUGGCAGCAAUCUGUGAUGGAUCCAGUGUCCUGGAAUAAUCUCUUAUCUUCCAUUUGACUGGUGUUGGAGGUGCAAAGAAAGAACUGAGAGUCCUGCAGGAGAAUACAUCAAGUAAAAGAGCAGCUUCUGCUGGAGUGAAGCAGAUGUGAUGUAAUGUUGCUUUCCAGGUUGAAAAACUCCUACCUAGAGAAUUUCCUGAGCAUAAGGCUUCAGUUUCUCCAAACUACCUGUGAAAACAAGGCCUAAAAAAGCGUCCUUUGUAAGAACACAGAUUUCAGCACUGAACAUUG